rnacentral:pre_miRNA from 1 species
CUGUGGGCGUGCAUUGUUAAAGUGCAGAUAGUGGUAGUUGGUCCUAAAAAUGACAGCUACUCUAUUUACACUUUAAACACUGUGCGGUCCCAAU